GACAGAGGGGGCAAGCGUUGCUCGGAAUUACUGGGCGUAAAGGGGCGCGUAGGCGGGAUGGCAAGUCGGUCGUGAAAUCCCUCGGCUCAACCGAGGAACGUCGAUCGAUACUGCUGUUCUUGAGGAUUGCAGAGGAGACUGGAAUUCCCGGUGUAGCGGUGAAAUGUGUAGAGAUCGGGAGGAACACCGGUGGCGAAGGCGGGUCUCUGGGCAAUUCCUGACGCUGAGGCGCGAAAGCGUGGGGAGCAAACGGG
rnacentral:rRNA from 1 species